AUUGAACGCUGGCGGCAGGCUUAACACAUGCAAGUCGAGCGGGGGAAGGUAGCUUGCUACCGGACCUAGCGGCGGACGGGUGAGUAAUGCUUAGGAAUCUGCCUAUUAGUGGGUGACAACAUCUCGAAAGGGAUGCUAAUACCGCAUACGUCCUACGGGAGAGAGCAGGGGAUCUUCGGACCUUGCGCUAAUAGGUGAGCCUAAGUCGGAUUAGCUAGUUUGUUGGGUAAAGGCCUACCAAGGCGACGAUCUGUAGCGGGUCUGAUAGGAUGAUCCGCCACGCUGGGACUGAGACUCGGCCAACUCCUACGGGAGGCAGCAGUGGGGAAUAUUGGAAAAUGGGGGGGAACCCUGAUCCAGCCAUGCCGCGUGUGUGAAGAAGGCCUUGUGGUUGUAAAGCACUUUAAGCGAGGAGGAGGCUACUCUAGUUAAUACCUAGGGAUAGUGGACGUUACUCGCAGAAUAAGCACCGGCUAACUCUGUGCCAGCCGCCGCAGUAA
rnacentral:rRNA from 1 species